GGACACUGUCAGGUGGGCAGUUUGACUGGGGCGGUCGCCUCCCAAAAGGUAACGGAGGCGCUCAAAGGUUCUCUCAGUACGGUCGGAAAUCGUACGUAGAGUGUAAAGGCAAAAGAGAGCUUGAUUGAAAGACAUACAGGUCGAGCAAGGAUGAAAAUCGGACUUAGUGAUCCGGUGGUUCUGCGUGGAAGGGCCAUCGCUCAACGGAUAAAAGCUACCCUGGGGAUAACAGGCUUAUCUCCCC
rnacentral:rRNA from 1 species